GACGAACGCUGGCGGCGUGCCUAAUACAUGCAAGUAGGACGCACAGCCUAUACCGUAGCUUGCUACACCAUAGGCUGUGAGUUGCGAACGGGUGAGUAACGCGUAGGUAACCUGCCUAUUAGAGGGGGAUAACUAUUGGAAACGAUAGCUAAUACCGCAUAACAGUAUGUAACACAUGUUAGAUGCUUGAAAGAUGCAAUUGCAUCGCUAGUAGAUGGACCUGCGUUGUAUUAGCUAGUAGGUAGGGUAAUGGCCUACCUAGGCAACGAUACAUAGCCGACCUGAGAGGGUGAUCGGCCACACUGGGACUGAGACACGGCCCAGACUCCUACGGGAGGCAGCAGUAGGGAAUCUUCGGCAAUGGGGGGAACCCUGACCGAGCAACGCCGCGUGAGUGAAGAAGGUUUUCGGAUCGUAAAGCUCUGUUGUUAAGGAAGAACGAGUGUGAGAAUGGAAAGUUCAUACUGUGACGGUACUUAACCAGAAAGGGACGGCUAACUACGUGCCAGCAGCCGCGGUAAUACGUAGGUCCCGAGCGUUGUCCGGAUUUAUUGGGCGUAAAGCGAGCGCAGGCGGUUAGAAAAGUCUGAAGUGAAAGGCAGUGGCUCAACCAUUGUAGGCUUUGGAAACUGUUUAACUUGAGUGCAGAAGGGGAGAGUGGAAUUCCAUGUGUAGCGGUGAAAUGCGUAGAUAUAUGGAGGAACACCGGUGGCGAAAGCGGCUCUCUGGUCUGUCACUGACGCUGAGGCUCGAAAGCGUGGGGAGCGAACAGG
rnacentral:rRNA from 1 species